UACGUAGGGUGCGAGCGUUUGUCCGGAAUUAUUGGGCGUAAAGGGCUCGUAGGCGGUUUGUCGCGUCGGGAGUGAAAACCAGGUGCUUAACACCUGGCUUGCUUUCGAUACGGGCAGACUAGAGGUAUGCAGGGGAGAACGGAAUUCCUGGUGUAGCGGUGAAAUGCGCAGAUAUCAGGAGGAACACCGGUGGCGAAGGCGGGUCUCUGGGCCGAUACCGACGCUGAGGAGCGAAAGCGUGGGGAGCGAACAGG
rnacentral:rRNA from 1 species